rnacentral:misc_RNA from 1 species
UUCUUUCUUUCUUUCUUUUUUACGAUCUGACUUCGAUUUCUGCGAAAGUUAUCCCCCUCUUGUCUUCUACUCCAUCCAAACAUCCCCUUCCCCUGUCUGACGUCACUUCCCCCCACACUCUUUAUCCUACGCACCACCCCCUCUUUUCCUGCGCAUCCACUGCGCAUUCUAGAUUCCUCCCCCCACCGCCUUUUUCCCCGCAGUCGCCAUUACACGUGUCUUGUCUUCUUCUUUCCACGUCAUCACUGUUUCCCUCCCCCUUUCUCUUCUUCUUUUCGCUAUCACCUUCGC